UAUGUCAUUUAUGUAGAACCAGCAUGAUAUGGCAAUAAUUAUUUAGGAGAAAUACUUGGAUGCGAGAUCAUUGCAUAAGAUGCUAUUGGGCCUCUCUAAUAUAAGCAGCAGCACCUGAAGGAGUUUACUGGCAGCACCAAACACAGACGAACAUAAGAAGGAAGGAGGAAUAGAAUAGAAGUAAUCUUUUUGUUCCAUGGCACUCAACAGGAGCACUGCAACACAAUCGAUGAUCGUGUGCCCAAUGGUUGUUGUUUUAGUGGUGAUUGCUACCAUAUGUUUUACCCUACCUUGUUGCCAUGCUCGCACUGAAUCUACUAAAAAGGUGGUAUGCGAGGUGCUGCAUCCAUGUGUCGCUGACGCUGGAUGCAAAGCUAUCUGCGAGGGUAGUGGCAUGCGCUUCUUCUUUAACACCUGUGGGGGUGGCGAUUUUCCGGUGUGUUGCUGCAUACCUAUCUAAGGGAUCGGAGCGCUCUUCCGCCGUGUUGCUGCAUAUAUCAAUAUAAAAGUUAUUCGCGGUUCUCCGCCCGAGCUAAGCAAUUCUGAAUAAUUAUAUGCUUGUAAUGCUGCUACUUAUUUUUCCA